rfam:Poecilia formosa, whole genome shotgun sequence.
GGCUCUGUGGCGCAAUGGAUAGCGCAUUGGACUUCUAGCAAAGCUCUAGUGAAGAGAUUCAAAGGUUGUGGGUUCGAGUCCCACCAGAGUCG